rnacentral:rRNA from 1 species
GAAUUCGCCCUUAGAGUUUCUUUCUGGCUCAGGACGAACGCUGGCGGCGUGCCUAACACAUGCAAGUCGAGCGGGGACGAGGGAGCUUGCUUCCGAGUCCCAGCGGCGGACGGGUGAGUAACGCGUGAGCAAUCUGCCUUCAACAGGGGGAUAACGCAUCGAAAGAUGUGCUAAUACCGCGUAAGACCACGGCACCGCAUGGUGCAGGGGUCAAAGGAGCAAUCCGGUUGAAGAUGAGCUCGCGUCCGAUUAGCUAGUUGGUGAGAUAACAGCCCACCAAGGCGACGAUCGGUAGCCGACCUGAGAGGGUGAUCGGCCACAUUGGAACUGAGACACGGUCCAGGCUCCUACGGGAGGCAGCAGUGGGGAAUAUUGGGCAAUGGGCGAAAGCCUGACCCAGCAACGCCGCGUGAGGGAAGAAGGGUUUCGGCUCGUAAACCUCUGUCCUAUGGGACGAAUAGAUGACGGUACCAUAGGAGGAAGCCCCGGCUAACUACGUGCCAGCAGCCGCGGUAAUACGUAGGGGGCGAGCGUUGUCCGGAAUGAUUGGGCGUAAAGGGCGCGUAGGCGGCCUGUUAAGUCUGGAGUGAAAGUCCCGCUUUCAAGGUGGGAAUUGCUUUGGAUACUGAUGGGCUCGAGUGCAGGAGAGGAAAGCGGAAUUACCGGUGUAGCGGUGAAAUGCGUAGAGAUCGGUAGGAACACCAGUGGCGAAGGCGGCUUUCUGGACUGAAACUGACGCUGAGGCGCGAAAGCGUGGGGAGCAAACAGGAUUAGAUACCCUGGUAGUCCACGCGGUAAACGAUGA